rnacentral:rRNA from 1 species
AGAGUUUGAUUAUGGCUCAGGAUGAACGCUAGCGGCAGGCUUAACACAUGCAAGUCGGGCGGCAGCGGGGUGGGAGCUUGCUCCCACUGCCGGCGAGCGGCGCACGGGUGAGUAACACGUAUGCAACCUGCCCCUGUCAGGGGGACAACCCGCCGAAAGGCGGGCUAAGCCCGCGUAUAUCGCCCCGGGGCAUCCCGGGGGGAGGAAAGGAGCGAUCCGGACAGGGAUGGGCAUGCGGCGCAUUAGCUGGUCGGCGGGGUAACGGCUCACCGAGGCGACGAUGCGUAGGGGUUCUGAGAGGAAGGCCCCCCACACUGGUACUGAGACACGGACCAGACUCCUACAGGAGGCAGCAGUGAGGAAUACCCCUCAAUGGGCGGGAGCCUGAACCAACCAAGCCGCGUGAGGGAAGAAUGUACAGCGUAUCGUAAAC